CCUACGGGAGGCAGCAGUGGGGAAUAUUGCACAAUGGGGGGAACCCUGAUGCAGCGACGCCGCGUGAGUGAAGAAGUAUUUCGGUAUGUAAAGCUCUAUCAGCAGGGAAGAAAAUGACGGUACCUGACUAAGAAGCCCCGGCUAACUACGUGCCAGCAGCCGCGGUAAUACGUAGGGGGCAAGCGUUAUCCGGAUUUACUGGGUGUAAAGGGAGCGCAGACGGCUGUGCAAGUCUGGAGUGAAAGGCGGGGGCCCAACCCCCGGACUGCUCUGGAAACUGUAAAGCUGGAGUGCAGGAGAGGUAAGCGGAAUUCCUAGUGUAGCGGUGAAAUGCGUAGAUAUUAGGAGGAACACCAGUGGCGAAGGCGGAUUACUGGACUGCAACUGACGUUGAGGCUCGAAAGCGUGGGGAGCAAACAGGAUUAGAUACCCUUGUAGUC
rnacentral:rRNA from 1 species